GUAAGCUUCGAGGAGGAAAACGUAAUUAUGUCUUGUGAAUCCGCGCUAGAACGAAUAUGGGGGGGGGAGAGACGCCAUGGCGUUGUUUACAUCCCGGGGCCCAGUAGCAGGUCCCAGCCUCUUCCUUCUCGGGUGAUUUCUAGAGUAAAUAAUUGAGAGAAGACUACAAGUGUGUCCCAUCCCUGAAUUGGGAGUUCCCUGCUUUGUGCUUUAAGUCAGGCCAACAGGUUGAGACACAAGCUGUUUUGGUCAGGACUUGAGGAUGUUGACCAGAGUCCGCUAAUAUCCUUCAAUAUUUAGUGUUACAGACACCUGCUCCAAGUGAUACGCCAUGACAGAAGUGUUCCGGUUCGGCCUCGUGCCCAUCGCUUGUCGUGCCCGGAAUGAGGACCGCAGCCGUGAGUACCGACCUAUAUGAAGUUAAAUAGCACUUGCCUGGCAGAAGUGGCAUUGAGUCUCAACAACAAUGAAGUGAAUAUAUAUGGCAGAGCUGCAUCAGAGUGGAAGCU